UGGCAGACAAAUUCCCAAAUGGUUAUAGACGAUAUCUAAUCGCAAACACAAUUGGGUUUAUGGCAUCAUUGAGCGUCAUAAUACUGUUGAUAAGUGGCUUACCUUUAAGGAAAAAAGGAUUAAUGUGGAUAUUGAUGUUUAUCAUGUGGAUAGCCGUUUCUGCAACCGCAUACACUUAUGGUAUAUCUAUCUCUGUCUUUACACCAGAAAGCCAAGAGGAACCACUCGCCAAUGUGGUAGGAAUCUCAGUUUUCAUAUGGAUAGGACUCAUGGCCCUCCUCUUCCUUAUCCAUACAAUCCGCUUGAUGGCCAAGGCUGUUCGAAAGCUGAGACAAUCUGCUGUCAACAAAAGUUAACGUUAUAUUUCCAGCAUAUAUAUAAUAGUGUACUAGCUACUGUUUAGUUAAAGGGGAGCCUUGAAGAAACAAUAAAUAGAGUUUGAGCCAUGAAAGAAGCCACUAAUGUUUGCAUCAGCUAGGGUAGAUUGUCUAUAUCACAUCUCUUGGGUGCGGCUCAUUCCCGAACCCUGUGUGAAUGCGAGAUACCUUGUGCACUCGCGGGCUGCCCUUUACUAGCUACUGUUUAGUUAACAACUACCAAAACUCUUUAUCUAUUUUCAUCGGUG
rnacentral:lncRNA from 1 species